GUUAGGGGUAGGGUUAGGAGUAGUGUUAGGGGUAGGGUUAGGGUAGGGUUAGGGUUAGGUUAGGGUAGGGUUAGGGUUAGGUUAGGGUUAGGUUAGGAGUAGGGCUAGGGUUGGGUUAGGAGUAGGAGUAGGGUUAGGGUAGGGUUAUGAGCAGGGUUAAGGGUAGGGCUGGGUUAGGAGUAGGGUUAGGGUAGGGUUAGGAGUAGGGUUAGGGUUGGGCUAGGAGUAGGGCUUGGGUAUGGUUAGGAGUAAGGAUAGGGGUAGGGUUUGGGUUAGGGUUGGGUAAAGAGCAGGGUUAGGGUUAGGGUUGGGUUAGGAGUAGAGUUAGGGUUGGGUGUAGGAUUAGGGUUAGCGCAAUUGAUUGGUUGAUUUCAAUUCACUUUGGUGUUUGCUUUAUCAAAGUGGAGGGAUUCUUGAUUAUUAUACCACCUUUAUUUAUCUUUGGGUGUUUUGCAUGUAUUUUGGGUGCU